rnacentral:rRNA from 1 species
AUACGGAGGGUGCAAGCGUUAUUCGGAAUCACUGGGCGUAAAGGGUGCGUAGGCGGUUUGAUAAGUCUGAUGUGAAAUCCUAUGGCUCAACCAUAGAACUGCAUUGGAAACUGUCAGACUAGAAUACUGAAGGGGCAGAUGGAAUUAGUGGUGUAGGGGUAAAAUCCGUAGAUAUCACUAGGAAUACCGAAAGCGAAAGCGAUCUGCUGGGAAGUUAUUGACGCUGAGACACGAAAGCGUGGGGAGCAAACGGGAUUAGAUACCCUAGUAGUCC